GGGUUCUGUCUCUCUCUGUGAUACCUUUGCUGGGAACAGAUCAAGGGUGCAAGCCUUCCAACUCCUGUAAAGUUACCUGUCAGGAGGGGUGUGCGGUCGACGGGAUAUAGCCAGGACAUCGUUUGACCCACCGUGCCCCGUGACUGCCAGAAUAGCUCCUCGUGCCUGGGCAGCCUUCUUGAAUGGUUCACUGGCCUUCGGAUCAGAACGCAAGAGAGAUAACACACAGGAAUUCAACCCUUUUCACUCAAAGAGAGAGGAAGGCAUCUCACAGAGGUAUUAUCGGCAUUGAAAGCAAUGAAUACUGGUGCUGUGAAAAAUGGGAAACUGAGGCACAAAGGCUAAGUAACUUGCCCAUGAUUACUAUCUAGCCUCCAGUCUUGUGCUCUAUCUGCUGGACCAUGCUAUGUUUCUAUAUGGAAAUGCUGUGUAAAUGAAUGAACUAUUCUUAAAUCCACCUUGGCCCUGUUCAUUGCUGAACGGUGCCUCUCCCUGAACCUAAAGGACUAACUGAAUUACCAGAGGAUGCUGGGACUUCUUUUGAUUCCCCUUUCAGGACGGCAGUGAUAAGAAAUACAAAAUCUGCUUAUGAAGGUGCCAUGACAUUGUCUCUUUAAAGGGUGAUUUUCGUUAACGCACGGGAGAGUUGAGCUGGCUGCCUCCCAUCAAUGUCACUGGAGUUAAGUUGCUAAAUUCCAGGCUCAAGUGUCCUGGAGCAAGGAGGCGAUUUCCUUUACAGCAGCCCAAGAUGUACAACCUCAAUAAGCCACCAGUCAUCUCAGUUAUAUGGGAUCAGUGGACUACAGAGAUAAAAAAGAGAACAACUUAAUAAGGGUUCUUUUCUAUGGAUGACCCAACCUUUCCGUGCAAAUUCUUCUUUCUCCCUUUCAGUUCCCUAUCAUACUGGAUUGUAGCUAAAAACUGGAUCCAGGUGUGAAAGUGGAACAGAAAAAAUAUUUAAACAAAGUUUAACGACAGAAAUGUUUCCCCUUUCCUUCCACUCCAAAAAUCAUUUGGAAACAGAUUGAAUUGGUUUUUACCUUCAGCAAAGUUGUUAUGUUCAGCAUAAAUUUCUUAGUUCCAGUCUAUAUGCUGAACAAUGACUAAAAGUUCCCAGGACACAAUCACGGAGUGUGAGUAAAGAUCUCUUUCUGGCUUAAACACACAUUUUACAUUCAGCAUGUUAGAGCACUGGGCACUUUUUAUUCCCUGUUGCAAAAAAUAUACACGCAGAAUGUAACAGAGUGGCAGGCCCCUUGAAACGAAGCAGGUCCAGCUCCCUAUGCUAGAACAGGCUCCCAGAUUGGCUAAUUAAGAGGGGAGAGCAGUAAAGAAUUAGACUGUCAGUCAGGAAGGGGGAACAGGCAGCUGGAAGUUGUGGGAGAUGCUGCCAGAGUCCCCUGGGAGGAGAGGCAGUGGGAACCUGCUGGCGGAAAAUGGCCUUUAGGUUGAAAGCCAGGGGAGGCAGAGCACAGAAAAGUCCUGCAGUAGGCUCUGAAGUAAGAGAGACUGAGGGAGUCAAAUAGGCAAAUCCCCUGGGAACUGUAGCCCAGGGGAGCUAAGGAACUGCUUUUGUUUGUCUAUGGAAAGAGAGUCUCGCUGUGGCAGUGGGUCCUUCAGGGGCUGGGGAGAAGCCAGCCUCUUACUGAAACCUUUUGUUUCCCUAAGUUAAUAAUCUAGUUUCUGUCAUGGAGUUGCCCUGACGCAAACUGUCAAGAUCCUCUUCCACAUUCUUCUUAACAUCCGUCAGUAAAAUAAAUGUUAAAAGGAAGAUUGUG